rnacentral:rRNA from 1 species
GAAUAUUGCGCAAUGGGCGAAAGCCUGACGCAGCGACGCCGCGUGGGGGAUGAAGGUUUUCGGAUUGUAAACCCCUUUCAUGAGGAAAGAUAAAGUGGGUAACCACUUAGACGGUACCUCAAGAAGAAGCCACGGCUAACUUCGUGCCAGCAGCCGCGGUAAUACGAAGGUGGCAAGCGUUGUUCGGAUUUACUGGGCGUAAAGAGCACGUAGGCGGUUGGGAAAGCCUCUUGGGAAAUCUCCCGGCUUAACCGGGAAAGGUCGAGAGGAACUAUUCAGCUAGAGGACGGGAGAGGAGCGCGGAAUUCCCGGUGUAGCGGUGAAAUGCGUAGAUAUCGAGAGGAACACCUGCGGCGAAGGCGGGUUGCUGGGCUGACACUGACGCUGAUGCGCGAAAGCUAGGGGAGCGAACGGG